ACUCAAAUGAAUAGACGGGGGCCCGCACAAGCGGUGGAGCAUGUGGCUUAAUUCGAUGCAACGCGAAGAACCUUACCCAGGCUUGACAUGGACCUGCAAGCUCGUGAAAGCGAGUCGCCUUCGAGGGUGGUCCGCAGGUGGUGCAUGGCUGUCGUCAGCUCGUGUUGUGAAAUGUUGGGUUAAGUCCCGCAACGAGCGCAACCCUCACGUUCUGUUACCAGCGCAUAAUGGCGGGGACUCGGAACGAACUGCCUCUGUAAAGAGGAGGAAGGUGGGGAUGACGUCAAGUCAUCAUGCCCCUUACGCCUGGGGCUGCACACAUGCUACAAUGGCUGCUACAAAGGGUUGCCAACUCGCGAGAGCGCGCUAAUCCCAAAAAAGCAGUCUCAGUUCGGAUUGGAGUCUGCAACUCGACUCCAUGAAGUUGGAAUCGCUAGUAACCGCAGGUCAGCAUUACUGCGGUGAAUACGUUCCCGGGCCUUGCACACACCGCCCGU
rnacentral:rRNA from 1 species